AAUGCCUAGGAAUCUGCCCGAUAGUGGGGGACAACGUUUCGAAAGGAACGCUAAUACCGCAUACGUCCUACGGGAGAAAGUGGGGGAUCUUCGGACCUCACACUAUCGGAUGAGCCUAGGUCGGAUUAGCUAGUUGGUGGGGUAAAGGCUCACCAAGGCGACGAUCCGUAACUGGUCUGAGAGGAUGAUCAGUCACACUGGAACUGAGACACGGUCCAGACUCCUACGGGAGGCAGCAGUGGGGAAUAUUGGACAAUGGGCGAAAGCCUGAUCCAGCCAUGCCGCGUGUGUGAAGAAGGUCUUCGGAUUGUAAAGCACUUUAAGUUGGGAGGAAGGGCAUUAACCUAAUACGUUAGUGUUUUGACGUUACCGACAGAAUAAGCACCGGCUAACUUCGUGCCAGCAGCCGCGGUAAUACGAAGGGUGCAAGCGUUAAUCGGAAUUACUGGGCGUAAAGCGCGCGUAGGUGGUUCAGCAAGUUGGAUGUGAAAGCCCCGGGCUCAACCUGGGAACUGCAUCCAAAACUACUGGGCUAGAGUACGGUAGAGGGUGGUGGAAUUUCCUGUGUAGCGGUGAAAUGCGUAGAUAUAGGAAGG
rnacentral:rRNA from 1 species